UUUUGGUCAAGAUGCUCCAUUUUGUGAAUUUUCUCCAAAAGAGCAUCUUGUCCAUAGAG
rnacentral:pre_miRNA from 1 species